rnacentral:rRNA from 1 species
GACGAACGCUGGCGGCGUGCUUAACACAUGCAAGUCGAACGCUGAAGCUCAGCUUGCUGGGUGGAUGAGUGGCGAACGGGUGAGUAACACGUGAGUAACCUGCCCUCUUCUUUGGGAUAACGCCCGGAAACGGGUGCUAAUACUGGAUAUUCACUGAUUCUCGCAUGGGGGUUGGUGGAAAGGUUUGUUCUGGUGGGGGAUGGGCUCGCGGCCUAUCAGCUUGUUGGUGGGGUGAUGGCCUACCAAGGCUUUGACGGGUAGCCGGCCUGAGAGGGUGACCGGUCACAUUGGGACUGAGAUACGGCCCAGACUACUACGGGAGGCAGCAGUGGGGAAUAUUGCACAAUGGGCGAAAGCCUGAUGCAGCGACGCCGCGUGAGGGAUGGAGGCCUUCGGGGUGUAAACCUCUUUCGCUCAUGGUCAAGCCGCAGCUUUGGGUUGUGGUGAGGGUAGUGGGUAAAGAAGCGCCGGCUAACUACGUG